rnacentral:rRNA from 1 species
CCUACGGGAGGCAGCAGUGGGGAAUAUUUCACAAUGGGGGAAAGCCUGAUGCAGCGACGCCGCGUGAAGGAAGAAGGCUUUCGGGAUGUAAACUUCUAUUAUCAGGGAGGAAUAUGAUGGUAACUUAUGAAUAAGGAUCGGCUAACUACGUGCCAGCAGCCGCGGUGAUACGUAGGGUGCGAGCGUUAUCCGGAUUUACUGGGUGUAAAGAGUUCGGUGGGGGGCAUACUAAGCAGCUAGUAAAAUCUGGUGGCUCAACCAUCCAGACUAUUAGCGAAACUGUUAAGCUCGAGACCGUGAGGGGUAACUGGAAUUCCUAGUGUAGGGGUGAAAUCCGUAGAUAUUAGAAGGAACACCAAUAGCGUAGGCAGCUUGCUGGGACGGUUCUGACACUAAGGCACGAAAGCGUAGGGAGCAAACAGGAUUAGAUACCCGGGUAGUC